AUCCAGCUGAUGAGUCCUAAAUAGGACGAGACGUAAGUCUUGGAU
rnacentral:hammerhead_ribozyme from 1 species